rnacentral:lncRNA from 1 species
UAAACUAUUAUCAAAAUUUAGGAAAUUUAGUUUCUAGAUAUUUCAAAUACUCUAGAUCAACUUUAACGGCUCCGAUCAUCGAUUCGGAAUCUCGAUCAUCAAGAACAACUUGAUAGGACAAGUGCUCCUAUCCUAUAAUAGAAUAGUAGCAUUAGCCUAUAUAUAUAUAUAUAUAUAUAGAGAGAGAGAGAGAGAGAGAGAGAGAGAGAGAGAGAGAGAGAGAGAGAGAGAGAGAUGACUUGUCCUAAUUAGCUAGAGGGUUAUCUUCGAUAGUAAUAUUUGUAUAAUUACGGAUUAAAGGAAGAGCACGUACAAAAUUAACUGAUAAACAAGAAUACAAUAAAAAUGAUGAACUAUGAAUCAUUUUCAGUCGGCUAUCAAAUCUUUCAAAAUAUUGAUUUUACUGUUCAAUAUGUUUGAUUCAAAUCAAUCAAUGACAUCUUGACUUUAAAAUUUAAAUGCGUCGUUUAUCUUUACAUAUUUAAUGCGCAUACUUCAUUCAGCUCUCGCAACUAUAAAUUCAUUAAAAUAAAUAAUUAAUUUAACUAUUAAAGUUAAAAUAUUAUUGAUGAAUUUAAAUCAAAUCAAUUGAAAGGUCAGAUAGUAAAAUCAAAAUUUUAAUGGUUGGAUAUCUGACUCAAAAUAUGUUCGUACAAUGGUCUACUUUUAAAAUAUUAUAACAUUAUACACCUAUAAAAAAUUCUAAAGAGAAAUACCACUUGUACACCUAUUUUGAGAUUUCUUAGUAUUAAAAAGAAGGGAUAAUAUCUAAUAUACCAUACAAAAUUUUUGAAAUAUCUUAUAUACUUCUAUUUUUUCGUUGCAGUUAUACCUCUCAUAUAUUUCUCCGUUAUUCAUAAUAAUAAUCUUUCUAUUAAUACCCAUUAAGUAAUCUUGGAUUAAAUCCGAAUUAAAUUUCUACCCGAUUUAAAAAAAAAUUAAAAUACCUCUUUUGCCCCUAACUUAAUGGUAAAUAGAAAAAUUUGAUGACGAUAGAAUGAUAUAUUUGAACUAGAAUAUAUCUGAAAGGAUAAAAUAAUAAUUUUACAAAGAUAAUAGCUAAUUCUAAUAAUUUACUAAAAGAAUUUAACAGUAUAUUAAAAAGAUAUUUUUAAUAUUAAUCUUAUAAAAGAAGUAAACAAGAAAGUUAGAAAAUUUCGAAGAGUACAUAAAUAAUUGCUUCUGAAAAGGAAAAGAAGCUUAACAAGAUAUUCGUACCAAAGAUGUAUAAUAAGAAUUUAGGGAAAACUUCAAAAACUCUUCAUGUGGUUUCGUAGUUUCUUACUUUGACCCCCUGUAGUUUAAAAUAUAUCAAUUUGCUCCUCUGUGGUUUCGUUUUUAUCUUUUCCGUAACUUUUUCGUUAAUAUUUUAUUAAAUUAUAUACAAAAAACUUUAAAUACCCAUAUAGAUUUAUCAAAUAUUCACUUUAGUAUUCUUUAAUUUUAACUUUAUCACUAGUUUAAGAAAAAAAAAUGAAUAAGAAAAAGAGAAAAAAGAAACCACAGGGAGGCAAAUUGAUACAUUUUGAACCACAGGGGGGCAAAGUGAGAAACUAUGAAACGAUAGGGGUAGUUUUUGAAGUUUUCCCUAAGAUUUAUAUAUAAUUUUGGAGUAGGGAUGUCGAUAGAUCGGAUUCGGGACGGGCUCUUAAAAAUUCGAAUCCGAACCUGAAACCUGAAAUCCGAACCUGAACUAAUUAAAAUCCGACAGAUUUUAAAAAUCUAUAUCCAAAUCCAAAUACAACCAAAAAUCCGAAAUUGAAAUCCAAACCCGAACCGAAAAUCCGAACGGGUAACGGUUAUUUCUCUUUAUCAUAUUUCAAAAUAUAUUACAUUAAAUCUAAAUUUUUAAAAUACAGAUUUAAAUAUAACAUCAAAUAUUUAUAUACAUAUAUGAGUCCGGCAGGGAUAUUAUCGAUAGCACCAAGAAUAUGGUGCUAUCGAGUUUUCCACCGUUAGAUUUAAUCCUUUGAUUAUUUUUAUCCGUUAGAUUAUACUAUUUAACCAACCAUCCACUCAACUGUAGAGGGCCCACAUCAUCCUAACCACAUAUUUUUCAAUCCAAAAGCUAAAAAACCAAUAGCACUAAUAAUUUGGUACUAUUGAUAAUAUUCAAAUCUAGUUCUACAUAUAUUAUAUAAUACAAAAUUAAUUUGGAUUCGGACCAAAUAUAGAUAAAAUUUAUACUCGAAUCCAAAUUUUCAGAUUUUUUUUUUUUUAUAUCCAUUUAGAAUCAAAGUAAAUCCAUUCUGUUCGGAUCCGAAUUCGAAAAGAAUAUCGAUCCAGGUUGGUGACAUUCCUAUUUUGGAGUGUACCAGUAGCAGCAGCAGCAGCGGGGUUGUAAUUGUAAAAUUGGAAAGGGUGGGGGGUUGUUAUGUGUGAGAAAUAUGGGAGUUGUGGGGGGUUAUUUUAUUUUAGCGGAUGUCGGUCGGAGAG